AGCGAACGCUGGCGGCAGGCCUAACACAUGCAAGUCGAACGAACCCUUCGGGGUUAGUGGCGGACGGGUGAGUAACACGUGGGAACGUGCCUUUAGGUUCGGAAUAACUCAGGGAAACUUGUGCUAAUACCGAAUGUGCCCUUCGGGGGAAAGAUUUAUCGCCUUUAGAGCGGCCCGCGUCUGAUUAGCUAGUUGGUGAGGUAAAGGCUCACCAAGGCUACGAUCAGUAGCUGGUCUGAGAGGAUGACCAGCCACAUUGGGACUGAGACACGGCCCAAAGUCCUACGGGAGGCAGCAGUGGGGAAUCUUGCGCAAUGGGCGAAAGCCUGACGCAGCCAUGCCGCGUGGAUGAUGAAGGUCUUAGGAUUGUAAAAUCCUUUCACCGGUGAAGAUAAUGACUGUAGCCGGAGAAGAAGCCCCGGCUAACUUCGUGCCAGCAGCCGCGGUAAGAC
rnacentral:rRNA from 1 species